rnacentral:rRNA from 1 species
UAGGGAAUCUUCGGCAAUGGGGGGAACCCUGACCGAGCAACGCCGCGUGAGUGAAGAAGGUUUUCGGAUCGUAAAGCUCUUUUGUUAAGGAAGAACGAGUGUGAGAAUGGAAAGUUCAUGCUGUGACGGUACUUAACCAGAAAGGGAUGGCUAACUACGUGCCAGCAGCCGCGGUAAUACGUAGGUCCCGAGCGUUGUCCGGAUUUAUUGGGCGUAAAGCGAGCGCAGGCGGUUAGAAAAGUCUGAAGUGAAAGGCAGUGGCUCAACCAUUGUAGGCUUUGGAAACUGUUUAACUUGAGUGCAGAAGGGGAGAGUGGAAUUCCAUGUGUAGCGGUGAAAUGCGUAGAUAUAUGGAGGAACACCGGUGGCGAAAGCGGCUCUCUGGUCUGUAACUGACGCUGAGGCUCGAAAGCGUGGGGAGCGAACAGG